rnacentral:lncRNA from 1 species
UUUUUUUAAUUGUUAUCCGCAGUCAUGCAAGUAGUAGAUUGAUUGUAUGUAUGUAAGACUAGUCUUUGAUGUUUGAAGAUUUCACAAGAUUUUCUUUUUCUUCUGUGUUUCCAAAAACUUAAAAUGCCACACAACCUACAUGUUCAUUUCCUCUUGUGCUUGUUGCGUUUAUCCAGAGCAGGCAAGUCGCAAGAAGAUACCUAUUUUAGUUGAUACAGAGAAAAAAAGAGAUGGUUUAGAUGAUCUCUUGCCAUUCGCCGACUACGUUGUCUGUCCAGAAAAUUUCCCUCAGGCAAGUUAGUCUCAGUUUCUGUUCUUGUUUUUCCAGUUUUUUUUUUUUUUUUUUGCUUUGAGGCUGAAUAUUCUUAGUCUCUCACGUCUUGCAGACAUGGACAGAAGUGUCUUCAACUCCUGGUGCACUUGUUUCCAUGUUGUUGAGAUUGCCUAAACUGAAAUUUGUGAUCGUGACCUCAGGUGAACAUGGGUGCUUAAUGGUUCAAAGAGCUUCAAAAGGUACAAAACCCAAGACUUUAUCUCUCUCUUUAGGAUUCAAAACUUCUACAUGAUCCUUUCCCCGGUUCAUAAACAUCAUCUGGCUCUGUCGACUUCAG